rnacentral:lncRNA from 1 species
GGGUAAGUAUAUGAGAUACAAAUUUAAAAUUUUUGAAAGGUUCAAAUAUUUUAGAUGUAAAAUAGAGAAGUAAAUCAAAAAAUUCUUAAAGGUACUUCGAUCGGAUCAAGGAUACAAUACCAAAGAAAAAAAUUUUUUGAUUAUCUCAUAAAAUGGCAUAUUUUCAUAUUGGAUUCCUCCUAGUAAACUCAGCUCAAUGAGAUAAGAAGAGUCAUGGGACUAUAUGAGAUAUGGUCUGGUCCAUAAUGAACUUCACUGAUUUAUUUAUGUUUCUUUAGAGACAUGCUUUAAUUCUAUGGAAAUUGGGUUCGCUUUAAGCCUGUUCCUAUCACAUCGUAUGAGAUAUGGCAUGGUGAAAAUUGAAUCUUGAUUACUUCAAGAUCCAAGG